rnacentral:rRNA from 1 species
AUUGAACGCUGGCGGCAUGCCUUACACAUGCAAGUCGAACGGCAGCACGGGAGCAAUCCUGGUGGCGAGUGGCGAACGGGUGAGUAAUGUAUCGGAACGUGCCCAGUCGUGGGGGAUAACGCAGCGAAAGCUGUGCUAAUACCGCAUACGAUCUAUGGAUGAAAGCGGGGGAUCGCAAGACCUCGCGCGAUUGGAGCGGCCGAUAUCAGAUUAGGUAGUUGGUGGGGUAAAGGCCCACCAAGCCGACGAUCUGUAGCUGGUCUGAGAGGACGACCAGCCACACUGGGACUGAGACACGGCCCAGACUCCUACGGGAGGCAGCAGUGGGGAAUUUUGGACAAUGGGCGCAAGCCUGAUCCAGCAAUGCCGCGUGCAGGAUGAAGGCCUUCGGGUUGUAAACUGCUUUUGUACGGAGCGAAACGGCUUCCACUAAUACUGGGGGCUAAUGACGGUACCGUAAGAAUAAGCACCGGCUAACUACGUGCCAGCAGCCGCCGUAAAAC